UACGUAGGGGGCUAGCGUUGUCCGGAAUCAUUGGGCGUAAAGCGCGUGUAGGCGGCCCGGUAAGUCCGCUGUGAAAGUCGGGGGCUCAACCCUCGGAAGCCGGUGGAUACUGUCGGGCUCGAGUACGGAAGAGGCGAGUGGAAUUCCUGGUGUAGCGGUGAAAUGCGUAGAUAUCUGGAGGAACACCGGUGGCGAAGGCGACGUCCUGGACCGGUAUUGACGCUGAGGCGCGAAAGCCAGGGGAGCAAACGGG
rnacentral:rRNA from 1 species